AGCCAUUGGCUUGCAAGUUCAAGUAAAGGUCAUAGAGGGAAUAAUUCCUGAUAUGAAUGAAUCCUCGUGUCUUUUAAUCCUCAGGUUGGUAGACCAAAUUUUAAUUGCUCCCAGGAAUUUUGCAUUUCACUGUUAUUUCCAUUGUUUUUUUUUUUCUUGCAGUAUUGUUUCCAUUCCUUACCCCAGUUUUUGAAAUAUUAAAUAUCUGCCUAUUUCCAAAAAAGUUACUGAUUUUUUCACAAAAUCUGCAAAAAGGAUGAAGGAAAGUCGCCUCAAAGAUAAACAAAAGCACCGAGUGGAUUUUCUUCAGCUGAUGAUUAACUCCCAGAAUUCCAAAGAAAUGGACACCCAUAAAGGUAAGCAAGGAGAGCUUCAGAUGGCCUUAAUGGGGUGGCUCAGAGAUAGGGGGUGGUUCUGAGAUAUGGAGGGAGAUUUUUAGCAGAUGGAAUAUCAGACAAUCGAAGAAAGACACACGUUCAGAUACAAAUGGUAGCCAGAGCAUUUUCCAGAAGAACAAAGCCACAGUUUGUUCAAAGCUUAAAGGGCAAUGAUAGACAAAACAGUCAGUGGUCUGCCAUGUGGGAGCUUGUUUGCAAUGUCAAUCCUCCAUCCUAAUCCAGACCCACUGAAUCAGAACCUCAGUCUGGAAAUUCACAUCAAAGCUUCAUGACAUCAGGAGGCACCAGGGGUGCCCUUCACUUGGAACACUUGGUUAAACUUGUGUUCACUGGCUUAAUCUACUGCGAAGUUUUUUCCCUUUGUAAUUAAGAAGUAACUGGUACUGAAUGCCUUUGUGAUGUGUACAUCUUACAUAUUUCUCUUUAACCUGUCACCUACUACUUUAAUCAUCCAUGGAUAAUAUUUGACUAAAACCAUUAUUAGUAUGAUGGUUGCAAAAUGAUGACUUUCUACUUCCACCAUUCCUCCUACAUUUGGAGUGAUAGUCCAUCGUUAGGGUGAGCUUUCCAUUAAUCAUCAUUAUUGUAUUUGUUUAUUUAUAUAUGUCAAUAUAAUCUCAAUAUUACUAA